ACCUGAUUAAAAUAAUUUACGCUUUGCUACCAUGCUGGUGCAAUAGCAAGGUCUUGCACAGUUUAAGUGUUAUCUUAUCAAAUCAUUAUGUACCUAUAAUUGUUCUAUAUGACGAGUUUCUUUUCUUUAUGGAAUAGAGAAAUAUAAAUUUAUUACCAAGUCUUAAUGGUGUAGGGUAUAUGUAAAUGAAUUCAAUUAGAACUCACAUUUUUGUUUUCUGUUUUGUAGCUGCCUUGAUCAUUAGUUGGUGAUAUUUGGGAGAUUGGGUCAUCUGGUUGUUUGGAUUUAAGUGGGAUUGAAGUUAUUUUUGCCGCUUUUUGUGAUUUGGGUCUGGGUUAUGGUCAAGUUAUUGCUAUUUAUUCUGGGUAUUUGCUGAAAUUUGUGUUCAAUUAGUGUGAGUUCUGUAAUUGGUUUGUGUUCGUUCAUAUAACCUUAUGUUCUUGGAAUGUGAUUUAGCUGUGGCUCUUUCAUUUGAUUCUUAAUUCUUUAUGAUUCAGCACUAUGUUGAUAUUGAUGAUGAAUUUUUCCUCGCGAUUAAUGCUUUCAUGUUUAAAUCUUAAUAACUAUACUUGCUUCUCUUGGGUGUAUGUUUUGCCGGUCAUGAAAAACUGUCGGCCAAUCUUUUUGCACCACUCUUUCGCACUCUUUUCCGUGGCUAUCAUGUUUCUCUCUGACCUUAUAAAUUUUGCCUUCAUUCACAACAAAAAACCUUGCGACGAGCAAACAGGCACAACCAAUUCUGCCAGAAUUGCUGGAGAAUUCCACAACCAAGGUCAUCGAGUACGGCCGAAAGCAUGUUGAGGGUCGAGACGGCGAUAGCACCGAUGUUGGCAAGAGCGGCGACCCCUUUUCAAGAUUGUUGGGUCCAAAAGAAGAAGAAGAAGAAGGAGUGAACAACAUGAAAUUGGCUUUGGAAUACGUCAUUGAAGAAUGUUAAUGAAUCCAAACAUGGGUUUUGGGGUGUUCUUGCUAGAAAAGCCAAAGACAUUCUCGACGAUGAUGAUAAUGGAGUUCAGGAUUAUGAUUCACCCCGAACAACAAGGACGAAUAUGCUGUCUUUGCCAACAAGGGGAUAAGGCUAUGUUGGGGCAAGAACUGUGCAGGCAAAGACAUAAGAGUGAUGGAUUUUGGAACGAAAUGCAGAGGAUAUCAUUUUGUGCUGCUUAAGAGAGCUCAGCAUGAGGGUGCUGUUGGUUUACCUUGCCUGGAUGUGUAGCAGUGUGGGGUUGUUCAAGAAAAAAGGUUUUAAAGGAUCCUUUGCAGAUGCAGGAUCUUCUGCUAAAUGAUAACAUUGCAAUCCGAGUGUAAUUAACAUUUGCAGUUUUGUCCGGAGUGUGUGAGCUGUUGCUUCAGCCAAAACAGGUGCUCUCUCCAUUUUUCAUUUCUUCCAUACUCAAACCCUAGCCGCUCCACCUGUCUCUCCCACACAUAAGCAAACUCCAUCUGAAAGCCGAAGAAUCCAAAGGCACAACAAGGAUUGUAGACUACACAAACUUAGAAGAUAUGAAGUGUGCGAUCAAAAAGCUUGAUGGCUCUGAGUUCCGAAAUGCUUUUGACCGCCAAUCUGUUUGCGUUGGUCAAGGACAUGGGGAGAAGAGCACUUUGGAAAUGGUAAGGUGCACAAAUAUGGAAAAAGCACGACAGGGGAAAGCUGGGAUAUUGUUGUGGAUGAGGAGACCUAUUACGAGUGAGUCUGGACUUGGUUCUGGUUCUGUCUACAUAUAGUAUGUUGAAGCAGUCAAAAGGAUUUCAGGGGCUAUAAGGGAUGGCUGUAGAGGCCACCCGCUCGAUAUUGCCUUGUUCGGUUGUUCAUCCAGAUACAAAUUCUUGUUUAGCUCAGAAUGCACGGGCUACAUCAGCUACAUUUAGGAAAACAUUUCCGCUUUACUUUUCUUUGAUGUUUGUACCAUUCAUUGUUUUCAGCCUACAG